ensembl:snRNA U6 U6 spliceosomal RNA
GUGCUCAUUUUGGCAACAGGUAUACUAAAAUUGAAACAAAGCACAGGUUAGUAUAGUCCCUGCACAAUGAUGACAUGCAAGAAAUAAUUUUGAGUAGCAAUUUUU